UGCAAGUCGAGCGGGGAUUGGGUGCUUGCACCUAAUCUUAGCGGCGGACGGGUGAGUAAUGCUUAGGAAUCUGCCAUUUAGUGGGGGACAACAUUCCGAAAGGGAUGCUAAUACCGCAUACGCCCUACGGGGGAAAGCAGGGGAUCUUCGGACCUUGCGCUAAAUGAUGAGCCUAAGUCGGAUUAGCUAGUUGGUGGGGUAAAGGCCUACCAAGGCGACGAUCUGUAGCGGGUCUGAGAGGAUGAUCCGCCACACUGGGACUGAGACACGGCCCAGACUCCUACGGGAGGCAGCAGUGGGGAAUAUUGGACAAUGGGCGGAAGCCUGAUCCAGCCAUGCCGCGUGUGUGAAGAAGGCCUUUUGGUUGUAAAGCACUUUAAGCGAGGAGGAGGCUACCUGGAUUAAUACUCUAGGAUAGUGGACGUUACUCGCAGAAUAAGCACCGGCUAACUCUGUGCCAGCAGCCGCGGUAAUACAGAGGGUGCGAGCGUUAAUCGGAUUUACUGGGCGUAAAGCGUGCGUAGGCGGCUGUUUAAGUCGGAUGUGAAAUCCCUGAGCUUAACUUAGGAAUUGCAUUCGAUACUGGUCAGCUAGAGUAUGGGAGAGGAUGGUAGAAUUCCAGGUGUAGCGGUGAAAUGCGUAGAGAUCUGGAGGAAUACCGAUGGCGAAGGCAGCCAUCUGGCCUAAUACUGACGCUGAGGUACGAAAGCAUGGGGAGCAAACAGGAUUAGAUACCCUGGUAGUCCAUGCCGUAAACGAUGUCUACUAGCCGUUGGGG
rnacentral:rRNA from 1 species